rfam:Anopheles quadriannulatus strain QTAD4_A unplaced genomic scaffold supercont1.15, whole genome shotgun sequence.
CCUUCGAUAGCUCAGUUGGUAGAGCGGUGGACUGUAGAGAGUUUGUGGGUCGAUCAACUGUUACAAUGCAUCUCAAAGUGCAUAUGACGAUCACCUGCAUUUAAUAGAAAUCCAUAGGUCACUGGUUCAAAUCCGGUUCGAAGGA